rnacentral:rRNA from 1 species
AUGAAGGAUUUAGGAGUGGCUGAUGUCAUUCUGAACAUCAAGUUGUUGAGAGACGAUGAUGGUGGGAUUACAUUGCUUCAAUCUCACUGUGUGGAAAAGAUCUUGAGUCGCUUUGGUUACAGUGACGGCAAGCCCUCUCCAACACCAUAUGAUGCUAGUGUGUUGCUUCGAAAUAAUCGAAGAAUUGUUUCAGACCAAUUGAAAUAUUCUCAAAUUAUUGGCUCGCUUAUGUACUUAGCCAGUGCUACAAGACUUGACAUCUCUUUUGCUGUUAGCAAACUGAGCCGGUUUGUCUCAAAACCAGGAGAGGUGCAUUGGAAAGCUCUAGAGAGAGUUUUGCGUUAUUUGAAAGGCACUGCGAAUUAUGGAAUUCACUACACUGGGCACCCAAAAGUUCUUUAA